GAUGAACGCUGGCGGCGUGCCUAAUACAUGCAAGUCGAGCGAACGGACGAGAAGCUUGCUUCUCUGAUGUUAGCGGCGGACGGGUGAGUAACACGUGGAUAACCUACCUAUAAGACUGGGAUAACUUCGGGAAACCGUAGCUAAUACCGGAUAAUAUUUUGAACCGCAUGGUUCAAAAGUGAAAGACGGUCUUGCUGUCACUUAUAGAUGGAUCCGCGCUGCAUUAGCUAGUUGGUAAGGUAACGGCUUACCAAGGCAACGAUGCAUAGCCGACCUGAGAGGGUGAUCGGCCACACUGGAACUGAGACACGGUCCAGACUCCUACGGGAGGCAGCAGUAGGGAAUCUUCCGCAAUGGGCGAAAGCCUGACGGAGCAACGCCGCGUGAGUGAUGAAGGUCUUCGGAUCGUAAAACUCUGUUAUUAGGGAAGAACAUAUGUGUAAGUAACUGUGCACAUCUUGACGGUACCUAAUCAGAAAGCCACGGCUAACUACGUGCCAGCAGCCGCGGUAAUACGUAGGUGGCAAGCGUUAUCCGGAAUUAUUGGGCGUAAAGCGCGCGUAGGCGGUUUUUUAAGUCUGAUGUGAAAGCCCACGGCUCAACCGUGGAGGGUCAUUGGAAACUGGAAAACUUGAGUGCAGAAGAGGAAAGUGGAAUUCCAUGUGUAGCGGUGAAAUGCGCGGAGAUAUGGAGGAACACCAGUGGCGAAGGCGACUUUCUGGUCUGUAACUGACGCUGAUGUGCGAAAGCGUGGGGAUCAAACAGGAUUAGAUACCCUGGUAGUCCACGCCGUAAACGAUGAGUGCUAAGUGUUAGGGGGUUUCCGCCCCUUAGUGCUGCAGCUAACGCAUUAAGCACUCCGCCUGGGGAGUACGACCGCAAGGUUGAAACUCAAAGGAAUUGACGGGGACCCGCACAAGCGGUGGAGCAUGUGGUUUAAUUCGAAGCAACGCGAAGAACCUUACCAAAUCUUGACAUCCUUUGACAACUCUAGAGAUAGAGCCUUCCCCUUCGGGGGACAAAGUGACAGGUGGUGCAUGGUUGUCGUCAGCUCGUGUCGUGAGAUGUUGGGUUAAGUCCCGCAACGAGCGCAACCCUCAAGCUUAGUUGCCAUCAUUAAGUUGGGCACUCUAAGUUGACUGCCGGUGACAAACCGGAGGAAGGUGGGGAUGACGUCAAAUCAUCAUGCCCCUUAUGAUUUGGGCUACACACGUGCUACAAUGGACAAUACAAAGGGCAGCGAAACCGCGAGGUCAAGCAAAUCCCAUAAAGUUGUUCUCAGUUCGGAUUGUAGUCUGCAACUCGACUACAUGAAGCUGGAAUCGCUAGUAAUCGUAGAUCAGCAUGCUACGGUGAAUACGUUCCCGGGUCU
rnacentral:rRNA from 1 species